GCCCACUCCCGAUUCUAAUUUCUUCUCUAUUUUUUUCACACCCUCACUAUGUCUUCCAAUCUGGCAGGUUGACCUCCGGCUGGCAAAUCUGCUGCACGUUUUGCCCCUACAGACGAUUUUAUUGGAUCGAUUCUGCAUGCUGCACCUACUUUCAUUGGUACAGGACACCUACUUUCAAUUGGUACGCAAAUCUAAUCUCAUGCUCUUAAGUUUGAAUUUACAUUGUGUGAGCAAUGCACCUUUUAUUUCUUACCGCCCGUGAGCUAAUUAUUUAGUACAUUGUAAUUUGAUCUCCUACAAUCUUCUGUCAAUGCAUGUGUUCAAACAUAUUGUCAACAGACAACAAAAACAGCGCCUCUUCUUUUCACUUCGCCAAUGUGUGUUUGCAAAGAUGGACGCCCCCGAAAAUUCUCAAAAUCCUCCAAGCAAUCCUGAUAGUCAUUCCAUCUCACACACUCGUGGACGACCAUGCCGUUAGUCACGACCUGUUGACACCAGGGCCUGGUUGUCACCCGUCAAUUAAGCCAUUCAGUUUUUCUUUUGAUAGGAACGGAAGCUUUGGUUUCAGUGUUUGAACCAAAUUUUGGAUGGUGUAAGCAAUCUCGGUUUGUUGACAACUGAUUCGGUCACUUGAGGUCUUCAUGUAAUGUCGUCAUUCAAAUUAGUCUCCUGCAGAUUUUAUACAAAUAUGUAAACCCCUUCAGAUUGUAUAUACAGAUUUUGAAUCUCCA